rnacentral:rRNA from 1 species
UACGUAGGGUGCAAGCGUUAAUCGGAAUUACUGGGCGUAAAGCGUGCGCAGGCGGUCCGCAAAGUCUGAUGUGAAAGCCCCGGGCUCAACCUGGGAACUGCAUUGGAAACUAACGGGCUCGAGUGUGGCAGAGGGGGGUGGAAUUCCACGUGUAGCAGUGAAAUGCGUAGAUAUCAGGAGGAACACCGGUGGCGAAGGCGCCUAUCUGGCCCGAUACUGACGCUGAGGAGCGAAAGCGUGGGGAGCGAACAGG